rnacentral:rRNA from 1 species
AUUGAACGCUGGCGGCAGGCCUAACACAUGCAAGUCGAACGAGUGGCGGACGGGUGAGUAAUGUCUGGGAAACUGCCUGAUGGAGGGGGAUAACUACUGGAAACGGUAGCUAAUACCGCAUACUAUCAGAUGAGCCUAGGUCGGAUUAGCUAGUUGGUGGGGUAAAGGCCAACCAAGGCGACGAUCCUUAACUGGUCUGAGAGGAUGAUCAGGCACACUGGAACUAGGACACGGUCCGGACUCCUACGGGAGGCAGCAGUGGGGAAUAUUGGACAAUGGGCGAAAGCCUGAUCCAGCCAUGCCGCGGGGGUGAAGAAGGUCUUCGGUUUGUAAAGCACUUUAAGUUGGGAGGCGUUACCAGCAGAGAAAGCACCGGCUAACUUCGUGCCAGCAGCCGCGGUAAUUC